AGGCAGGAGGAUUGCCACAAGUGCAAGGCCAGGCUGGGUUACACAAUGAGUUCAAGGCCAGCCUGAGCUACAUAAUGAGACCCUGUUUUAAAACAACCCCCCAUUUUUUUUUGUUUUUUGAGACAAGGUCUCAUUAUGUGGCUCAGGCUGGCCUUGAACUCACUAUAUAACCCAGGUUGGCCUUGAACUCGUGGUGAUCCUCCUGCUUCAGCCUCCCAAGUGCUGGGGUUACAGGCAUGCACUGCCAUGCUCGGC
rnacentral:sRNA from 1 species